rnacentral:rRNA from 1 species
UACGGAGGGUGCGAGCGUUGUCCGGAAUCACUGGGCGUAAAGGGCGCGUAGGCGGCCUGAUAAGUAGGGGGUGAAAUCCUGCGGCUUAACCGCAGGGCUGCCUUCUAAACUGUCAGGCUCGAGCACAGUAGAGGCAGGUGGAAUUCCCGGUGUAGCGGUGGAAUGCGUAGAGAUCGGGAAGAACAUCAGUGGCGAAGGCGGCCUGCUGGGCUGUUGCUGACGCUGAGGCGCGACAGCGUGGGGAGCAAGCAGG